rnacentral:misc_RNA from 1 species
GAUGAAGAACGUAGUGAAAUGCGAUACUUGGUGUGAAUUGCAGAAUCCCGUGAACCAUCGAGUCUUUGAACGCAAGUUGCGCCUCAAGCCAUUAGGUUGAGGGCACGUCUGCCUGGGCGUCACAUAUCGUUGCCUGAUGCCAGCUUCCUCGUGAUGGGUGACUGUGCAGGGCGAAUGAUGGCUUCCCGUGAGCAUUGUUGCCUCAUGGUUGGUUGAAAAUUGAGUCCUUGGUAGGGAGCGCCGUGAUAGAUGGUGGUUGAGUGACGAACGAGACCCAAUCAUGUGAGACCCCUACCGAAUUUGGCCUUCAUGACCCACAUGCGUCUUUGGAACGCUCAUGACGAGACCUCAGGUCAGGCGGGGCUACCCGCUGAGUUUAAGCAUAUCAAUAAGCGGAGGA